GCCCAGACUCCUACGGGAGGCAGCAGUGGGGAAUAUUGCACAAUGGGGGAAACCCUGAUGCAGCGACGCCGCGUGAGUGAAGAAGUAUUUCGGUAUGUAAAGCUCUAUCAGCAGGGAAGAUAAUGACGGUACCUGAGUAAGAAGCCCCGGCUAACUACGUGCCAGCAGCCGCGGUAAUACGUAGGGGGCAAGCGUUAUCCGGAUUUACUGGGUGUAAAGGGAGCGUAGACGGCAUGGCAAGUCUGAAGUGAAAGCCCGGGGCUCAACCGCGGGACUGCUUUGGAAACUGUUAAGCUGGAGUGCAGGAGAGGUAAGUGGAAUUCCUAGUGUAGCGGUGAAAUGCGUAGAUAUUAGGAGGAACACCAGUUGCGGAGGCGGCUCUCUGGACUGUAACUGACGCUGAGGCACGAAAGCGUGGGGAGCAAACAGGAUUAGAUACCCGAGUA
rnacentral:rRNA from 1 species